UACGAAGGGGGCUAGCGUUGCACGGAAUCACUGGGCGUAAAGGGUGCGUAGGCGGGUCUUUAAGUCAGGGGUGAAAUCCUGGAGCUCAACUCCAGAACUGCCUUUGAUACUGAGGAUCUUGAGUUCGGGAGAGGUGAGUGGAACUGCGAGUGUAGAGGUGAAAUUCGUAGAUAUUCGCAAGAACACCAGUGGCGAAGGCGGCUCACUGGCCCGAUACUGACGCUGAGGUGCGAAAGCGUGGGGAGCAGACAGG
rnacentral:rRNA from 1 species